GGAAUAUUGCACAAUGGGGGAAACCCUGAUGCAGCGACGCCGCGUGAGUGAAGAAGUAUUUCGGUAUGUAAAGCUCUAUCAGCAGGGAAGAAAUAAAGUCCUUCGGACUUUGGACGGUACCUGACUAAGAAGCCCCGGCUAACUACGUGCCAGCAGCCGCGGUAAUACGUAGGGGGCAAGCGUUAUCCGGAUUUACUGGGUGUAAAGGGAGCGUAGACGGCAGCGCAAGUCUGGAGUGAAAUCCCAUGGCUUAACCAUGGAACUGCUUUGGAAACUGUGCAGCUGGAGUGCAGGAGAGGUAAGCGGAAUUCCUAGUGUAGCGGUGAAAUGCGUAGAUAUUAGGAGGAACACCAGUGGCGAAGGCGGCUUACUGGACUGUAACUGACGUUGAGGCUCGAAAGCGUGGGGAGCAAACA
rnacentral:rRNA from 1 species